AAACUUAAAGGAAUUGACGGGGAGCACCACAACGGGUGGAGCUUGCGGUUUAAUUGGAUUCAACGCCGGAAAUCUUACCGGGACCGACAGCAAUAUGAAGGCCAGGCUGAAGACUUUGCCGGAUUAGCUGAGAGGUGGUGCAUGGCCGUCGUCAGUUCGUACUGUGAGGCAUCCUGUUAAGUCAGGCAACGAGCGAGACCCACGCCCACAGUUGCCAGCGUACUCUCUGGAGUGACGGGUACACUGUGGGGACCGCCGCUGCUAAAGCGGAGGAAGGAAUGGGCAACGGUAGGUCAGUAUGCCCCGAAUAUCCCGGGCUACACGCGAGCUACAAUGGUUGGUACAAUGGGUAUCUACCCCGAAAGGGGACGGGAAUCUCCUAAAACCAAUCUUAGUUCGGAUUGAGGGCUGCAACUCGCCCUCAUGAAGCUGGAAUCCGUAGUAAUCGCGUUUCAACAGAACGCGGUGAAUACGUCCCUGCUCCUU
rnacentral:rRNA from 1 species